rnacentral:tRNA from 1 species
GGCAAUGUGGCUGAGUGGUCUAAAGCGUUUGAUUCGAAACCAAAUGGGUUCAACCCGCACAGGUUCGAAUCCUGUCAUUGUCG